CACUCUCCAAUACUGCAAAAUAAAGAAAAAGUGCUCAACUCCUCCCCUCCAGAACAUUGCCAAUUCAACUUUCUGAAUGCUGAUAUGUUUUUAUAGAAGCAUAAACCUAGCAGAGACAAGCAGGGAUCAGUAGGAGCCAGAGUACAAGGCUGCCCAACAGUUGCCCUGCCUUCCUUUUAUAUCUUUAAAUAGAAGGUCCUAGGUUAGUACCCUAAUUUUUUUAAUAUUAUUUUCUGGUUCCUUUAGGAUGUACUAUCUGCAGAUCCUGAGUUCUUGCAUCACUGCCAUCUUUCUGGGAAUCUACCUCCAACUACAGACCACUGAAGCAAAAAUACAAAAGCUGCUUGAUGUUAACGUGAUCCCAAUGGAGCCUGCAAAACCAGGGGGAAAAGUCGAAUUGGCAUGUCAUGUUCAAUCAUAUUGGACAGAUUGUGCUCCGGUCAAAAUCUACACCCUGAGCAACCCAUCCAUUGACUUCCCCUUCAAAAAUUUGACUUAUUCUUUUUGUGCAUGUCCUGGGGAAACUAAGACCUUCUACUGGAUCAUCCAAAGCAGCAGGACUGUGAAUGUAGGAUGUAGAGCUGCUUUCCAUCUGGAUGAUGUUUGCCCUGAGGACCAGAAUUCAAUUCCUCCCCAGAAAAAAAGAAGAUAUGGGGUUAAUAUGAAGACCUUGAAAAUAAUCAACUGAGCUUUAAACCCUAGGCUCUCCCCUUCCCCCCCCCCCCCCCGCCCCCAUUUAGUCAACCUAUUAGGCUAACUGAACAUCUGAGACUAGUUUCAAAUGUAAAAUAAAUAUGCUACAUUUUUCUGCCUGCGUAUGUCCCAUUUUUAAUUUUUUUUCUCAAACACCACACCUUUCAAAGCCCCAUGGUACUAUUACUUUCUAGACUAUUCUUCUUUCAAAGUACUUUUACACACUUUCUUGUGAGGAAAUUAUAGUAAAGAUCAUUCCUACAUUUGGCAAAUGAAGAAAUGAAGGCAAAAAAGGAG
rnacentral:lncRNA from 1 species